UUAAACACAUUGAGAAGAAAAGUACAUUUUGAAACUAUACACAGAGAGCCUUGUUUGGUGAGAGAGGUUAUGGGGAAGGAAUGGAAAAUGGUCUUUGAGAAGGAUUGGUGAACGAUUUGUCGCAAGCUAAUCCCGGCAGCACCCGAUAACGUGCCUCGGUAUCUAAAUAAUAAAUUAUUUACGUACUGGUAGAGGUUGUUUUAGUAAUGAGGCAACGUAUAAAGGUGGUAACACGGAAGACAGGCUUUCGUCCUUUGA
rnacentral:ncRNA from 1 species